rnacentral:rRNA from 1 species
GCGGAGGUAUUCGGGGAGACAGGUGGUGCAUGGUUGUCGUCAGCUCGUGUCGUGAGAUGUUGGGUUAAGUCCCGCAACGAGCGCAACCCCUAUUGCUAGUUACCAUCAUUAAGUUGGGGACUCUAGCGAGACUGCCAGUGAUAAACUGGAGGAAGGUGGGGAUGACGUCAAAUCAUCAUGCCCCUUAUGACCUGGGCUACAAACGUGAUACAAUGGCUGGAACAAAGGGAUGCGAAGCAGUGAUGUGGAGCGAAACCCAUAAAAACAGUCUCGGUUCGGAUUGAAGUCUGCAACUCGACUUCAUGAAGUCGGAAUCGCUAGUAAUCGCGGAUCAGAACGCCGCGGUGAAUACGUUCUCGGGGUUU